rnacentral:rRNA from 1 species
GAUGAACGCUAGCGGCAGGCCUAAUACAUGCAAGUCGGACGGGAUUUAGGAGCUUGCUCCUAAUGAGAGUGGCGCACGGGUGCGUAACACGCAUGUAACCUACCUUGUUCAGGGGGAUAGCCUCUCGAAAGAGAGAUUAAGACCGCAUAACGUUAUUGAAUGGCAUCGUUUAAUAACCAAAUAUUUAUAGUAACACGAUGGGCAUGCGGAACAUUAGCUAGAUGGUAGGGUAACGGCCUACCAAGGCUACGAUGUUUAGGGGAUCUGAGAAGAUGACCCCCCACACUGGUACUGAGACACGGACCAGACUCCUACGGGAGGCAGCAGUAAGGAAUAUUGGUCAAUGGGCGGAAGCCUGAACCAGCCAUGCCGCGUGCAGGAAGACGGCCCUACGGGUUGUAAACUGCUUUUAUACGGGAAUAAACCUUGAUACGUGUAUCAAGCUGAAUGUACUGUAAGAAUAAGGAUCGGCUAACUCCGUGCCAGCCGCCGCAGUAA